rnacentral:rRNA from 1 species
CCUACGGGGGGCUGCAGUGGGGAAUAUUGGACAAUGGGCGAAAGCCUGAUCCAGCCAUGCCGCGUGUGUGAAGAAGGCCUUUUGGUUGUAAAGCACUUUAAGCGGGGAGGAGGGCACCACGGUUAAUACCCGUGAAUGUCGGACGUUACCCGCAGAAUAAGCACCGGCUAACUCUGUGCCAGCAGCCGCGGUAAUACAGAGGGUGCGAGCGUUAAUCGGAAUUACUGGGCGUAAAGCGCGCGUAGGCGGCUUGUUAAGUCAAAUGUGAAAUCCCCGAGCUUAACUUGGGCAUUGCAUUCGAUACUGGCAAGCUAGAGUAUGGGAGAGGAAGGUAGAAUUCCAGGUGUAGCGGUGAAAUGCGUAGAGAUCUGGAGGAAUACCGAUGGCGAAGGCAGCCUUCUGGCCUAAUACUGACGCUGAGGUGCGAAAGCAUGGGGAGCAAACAGGAUUAGAUACCCCAGUAGUC